GACGAACGCUGGCGGCGUGCUUAACACAUGCAAGUCGAACGGAAAGGCCCUGCUUUUGUGGGGUGCUCGAGUGGCGAACGGGUGAGUAACACGUGAGUAACCUGCCCUUGACUUUGGGAUAACUUCAGGAAACUGGGGCUAAUACCGGAUAGGAGCUCCUGCUGCAUGGUGGGGGUUGGAAAGUUUCGGCGGUUGGGGAUGGACUCGCGGCUUAUCAGCUUGUUGGUGGGGUAGUGGCUUACCAAGGCUUUGACGGGUAGCCGGCCUGAGAGGGUGACCGGCCACAUUGGGACUGGGAUACGGCCCAGACUCCUACGGGAGGCAGCAGUGGGGAAUAUUGCACAAUGGGCGGAAGCCUGAUGCAGCAACGCCGCGGGCGGGAUGACGGCCUUCGGGUUGUAAACCGCUUUCGCAUGUGACGAAGCGUGAGUGACGGUAAUGGGUAAAGAAGCACCGGCUAACUACGUG
rnacentral:rRNA from 1 species